CCUCAGUAACUGCGAGUGAAGUGGCAAAAGCUCAAAUUUGAAAUCCGGUACCUUUGGUGCCUGACUUGUAAUUUGGAGAGACAAAUUUGGUCGACAGCGCCGGCCUAGGUUCCUUUGAACAGGACAACACAGAGGGUGAGAAUCCCGUGCAUGGUCUGAAUCGCUGUCGAAUUGCUAAAUUGUCUUCGACGAGUCGAGUUGUUUGGGAAUGCAGCUCAAAAUGGGUGGUAAAUGUCAUCUAAAGCUAAAUAUUGGCGAGAGACCGAUAGCGCACAAGUAGAGUGAUCGAAAGAUGAAAAGCACUUUGAAAAGAGAGUCAAAAAGUACGUGAAAUUGCUGAAAGGGAAGCGCUUGAGACCAGACUCGAACCGCGGUGAUCAGCCGCGCUUCUGUGCGGAGUCACUUGCCGUGGUUCGGGCCAGCAUCGGUUCCGGCGGUCGGAUAAAAGGUGGAGGAAUGUAGCUUCCUCCGGGGAGUGUUAAUUUAGCCACCACCACAAUGCGGCCAGCUGGGACCGAGGAUCGCGCUGUACUUCUCGUUCAGCUAGGAUGCUGGCGUAAUGGUCUUAAGCGACCCGUCUUGAAACACGGACCAAGGAGUCUAACAUCUAUGCGAGUGUUCGGGUGGAAAACCCUUGCGCGAAAYGAAAGUGAACGGAGGUGGGAACCCGCAAGGGUGCACCAUCGACCGAUCCCGAAGUCUUCGGAAGGAUUUGAGUAGGAGCACAGAUGUUGGGACCCGAAAGAUGGUGAACUAUGCCUGAAUAGGGUGAAGCCAGAGGAAACUCUGG
rnacentral:rRNA from 1 species